rnacentral:rRNA from 1 species
UCAGGCCUAACACAUGCAAGUCGAGCGGGGUUUUAAACAAUAGCGGCGGACGGGUGAGUAAUGCGUAGGAAGCUACCCGAUAGAGGGGGAUACCAGUUGGGAACGACUGUUAAUACCGCAUAAUGUCUACGGACCAAAGUGUGGGACCUUCGGGCCACAUGCUAUCGGAUGCGCCUACGUGGGAUUAGCUAGUUGGUGAGGUAAUGGCUCACCAAGGCGACGAUCCCUGGCUGGUUUGAGAGGAUGAUCAGCCACACUGGAAGUGAGACACGGUCCAGACUCCUACGGGAGGCAGCAGUGGGGAAUAUUGGACAAUGGGCGCAAGCCUUUUUUUGAGAUGCCGCGUGUGUGAAGAA